rnacentral:rRNA from 1 species
GAUGAACGCUGGCGGCGUGCCUAAUACAUGCAAGUCGAGCGAACAGACGAGGAGCUUGCUCCUCUGACGUUAGCGGCGGACGGGUGAGUAACACGUGGAUAACCUACCUAUAAGACUGGGAUAACUUCGGGAAACCGGAGCUAAUACCGGAUAAUAUAUUGAACCGCAUGGUUCAAUAGUGAAAGACGGUUUUGCUGUCACUUAUAGAUGGAUCCGCGCCGCAUUAGCUAGUUGGUAAGGUAACGGCUUACCAAGGCAACGAUGCGUAGCCGACCUGAGAGGGUGGUCGGCCACCCUGGAAGUGAGACACGGUCCAGACUCCUACGGGAGGGCGCAGUAGGGAAUGUUACGCAGUGGGCGAAAGCCUGACGGAGCAGCCCCGCGUGAGUGAUGAAGGUCUUCGGAUCGUAAAACUCUGUUAUUAGGGAAGAACAAAUGUGUAAGUAACUAUGCACGUCUUGACGGUACCUAAUCAGAAAGCCACGGCUAACUACGUG